rnacentral:rRNA from 1 species
GUCAGGAGUUAGGAAAUGUAAGUGUGCUAAUAUCGCAUUUACUUGACGAAGGCUCCAAAGGAAGUCACGGCUAACUCUGUGCCAGCAGCCGCGGUAAUACAGAGGUGGCAAGCGUUGUUCGGAAUUAUUGGGCGUAAAGAGCACGUAGGUGGGUUUGUAAGUCAGAUGUGAAAGCCUCCUGUUCAACGGGAGAAUUGCAUCUGAAACUACUGAUCUUGAGUAUAGGAGGGGAGAGUGGAACUUCUGGU